UACGGAGGGGGCUAGCGUUGUUCGGAAUUACUGGGCGUAAAGCGCGCGUAGGCGGUUUUGCAAGUCGGGUGUGAAAUCCCCAGGCUUAACCUGGGAACUGCAUUCGAGACUGCAUUACUAGAGUAUGGGAGAGGGAAGUGGAAUUUCCGGUGUAGCGGUGAAAUGCGUAGAUAUCGGAAGGAACAUCAGUGGCGAAAGCGACUUCCUGGACCAAUACUGACGCUCAUGUGCGAAAGCGUGGGGAGCAAACAGG
rnacentral:rRNA from 1 species